rnacentral:rRNA from 1 species
ACGGGGGGGGGCUAGCGUUGUUCGGAAUCACUGGGCGUAAGGGGCUCGUAGGCGGCCAUCUUAGUCAGACGUGAAAUCCCUCGGCUUAACCGGGGAACUGCGUCUGAUACUGGAUGGCUCGAAUCCGGGAGAGGGAUGCGGAAUUCCAGGUGUAGCGGUGAAAUGCGUAGAUAUCUGGAGGAACACCGGUGGCGAAGGCGGCAUCCUGGACCGGUAUUGACGCUGAUGAGCGAAAGCCAGGGGAGCAAAC